rnacentral:rRNA from 1 species
GACGAACGCUGGCGGCGUGCCUAAUACAUGCAAGUAGAACGCUGAAGGAGGAGCUUGCUUCUCUGGAUGAGUUGCGAACGGGUGAGUAACGCGUAGGUAACCUGCCUGGUAGCGGGGGAUAACUAUUGGAAACGAUAGCUAAUACCGCAUAAUAGCAGUUAUUGCAUGAUAACUGUUUGAAAGGUGCAAUUGCACCACUACCAGAUGGACCUGCGUUGUAUUAGCUAGUUGGUGAGGUAACGGCUCACCAAGGCGACGAUACAUAGCCGACCUGAGAGGGUGAUCGGCCACACUGGGACUGAGACACGGCCCAGACUCCUACGGGAGGCAGCAGUAGGGAAUCUUCGGCAAUGGACGGAAGUCUGACCGAGCAACGCCGCGUGAGUGAAGAAGGUUUUCGGAUCGUAAAGCUCUGUUGUAAGAGAAGAACGAGUGUGAGAGUGG